CGCUUAAUAGGGAUCAAAUUAACCAGAAUAUAAAUCUAGAGGAUGAAUCUGGGUUUAAACACACUUCCCUUAAAAACAAAUCCUCCUUCUACCCCAAACAAAUGCUAUCAGACGAAAUAAUAACAUUUGAAACUAUGGUUACAACAGAAAUGAAUAAAAUUAUCCCUAACGAUAAGUUUAAAGAUAACUUGACAAUAUUGGAAAAGAAAGCACUCAAGGAUCUUCAAACAGAUAAAAAUUUAGUUAUUAAACCGGCAGAUAAGGGAGGGGGGAUAGUGCUUAUGUCUAAACAGUUUUAUGAUACAGAAGCAAAUAAUAUUUUAAAAG